AACGAACGCUGGCGGCAGGCUUAACACAUGCAAGUCGAGCGCCCCGCCAGGGGAGCGGCAGCCGGGUGAGUAACGCGUGGGAACGUACCUUUUGGUUCGGAACAACUCCGGGAAACUGGAGCUAAUACCGGAUAAGCCCUAACGGGGAAAGAUUUAUCGCCGAAAGAUCGGCCCGCGUCUGAUUAGCUAGUUGGUGAGGUAACGGCUCACCAAGGCGACGAUCAGUAGCUGGUCUGAGAGGAUGAUCAGCCACACUGGGACUGAGACACGGCCCAGACUCCUACGGGAGGCAGCAGUGGGGAAUAUUGGACAAUGGGCGCAAGCCUGAUCCAGCCAUGCCGCGUGAGUGAUGAAGGCCUUAGGGUUGUAAAGCUCUUUUGUCCGGGAAGAUAAUGACUGUACCGGAAGAAUAGGCCCCGGCUAACUUCGUG
rnacentral:rRNA from 1 species